AUUGAACGCUGGCGGCAUGCUUUACACAUGCCAGUCGAACGGCAGCGCGGGCUUCGGCCUGGCGGCGAGUGGCGAACGGGUGAGUAAUACAUCGGAACGUGCCCAGUAGUGGGGGAUAGCUCGGCGAAAGCCGGAUUAAUACCGCAUACGACCUGAGGGUGAAAGCGGGGGAUCUUCGGACCUCGCGCUAUUGGAGCGGCCGAUGGCAGAUUAGCUAGUUUGUGGGGUAAAGGCCUACCAAGGCGACGAUCUGUAGCUGGUCUGAGAGGACGACCAGCCACACUGGGACUGAGACACGGCCCAGACUCCUACGGGAGGCAGCAGUGGGGAAUUUUGGACAAUGGGCGAAAGCCUGAUCCAGCAAUGCCGCGUGUGUGAUGAAGGCCUUCGGGUUGUAAAGCACUUUUGGCGGGAACGAAAAGGACUGUGCCAAUACCACGGUUCGAUGACGGUACCCGCAGAAUAAGCACCGGCUAACUACGUG
rnacentral:rRNA from 1 species